CUUUGAACGCACAUUGCGCCUCGGGCCUUCCCCGUGGCUCGUCUGUGUGAGGGUCGC
rnacentral:rRNA from 1 species